rnacentral:rRNA from 1 species
UACGUAGGGUGCGAGCGUUGUCCGGAAUUAUUGGGCGUAAAGAGCUCGUAGGCGGCCUGUCGCGUCGGAUGUGAAAGCCCGGGGCUUAACCCCGGGUCUGCAUUCGAUACGGGCAGGCUAGAGUGUGGUAGGGGAGAUCGGAAUUCCUGGUGUAGCGGUGAAAUGCGCAGAUAUCAGGAGGAACACCGGUGGCGAAGGCGGAUCUCUGGGCCGGUACUGACGCUGAGGUGCGAAAGCGUGGGGAGCAAACAGG